AACGAACGCUGGCGGCGUGCCUAAUACAUGCAAGUCGAGCGGACAGAUAAGGAGCUUGCUCCUUUGAAGUCAGCGGCGGACGGGUGAGUAACACGUGGGCAACCUGCCUAUAAGACUGGGAUAACUCCGGGAAACCGGGGCUAAUACCGGAUAGAUCCUUUCCUCUCAUGAGGAAAGAAGGAAAGACGGUUUCGGCUGUCACUUAUAGAUGGGCCCGCGGCGCAUUAGCUAGUUGGUAAGGUAACGGCUUACCAAGGCGACGAUGCGUAGCCGACCUGAGAGGGUGAUCGGCCACACUGGGACUGAGACACGGCCCAGACUCCUACGGGAGGCAGCAGUAGGGAAUCUUCCGCAAUGGACGAAAGUCUGACGGAGCAACGCCGCGUGAACGAAGAAGGCCUUCGGGUCGUAAAGUUCUGUUGUUAGGGAAGAACAAGUACGAUAGUAACUGAUCGUACCUUGACGGUACCUAACCAGAAAGCCACGGCUAACUACGUGCCAGCAGCCGCGGUAACAC
rnacentral:rRNA from 1 species